rnacentral:rRNA from 1 species
CGCAGGCCUGACGGAGCAAGACCGCGUGGGGGAGGAAUGCCUUAGGGUUGUAAACCCCUUUUAUCUGGGAAGAACAAAAUGACGGUACCAGAUGAAUAAGCCUCGGCUAACUCCGUGCCAGCAGCCGCGGUAAUACGGAGGAGGCAAGCGUUAUCCGGAUUUAUUGGGCGUAAAGAGUCCGUAGGUGGUUCAUCAAGUCUGCUGUUAAAGCGUGCAGCUCAACUGCAUAUAGGCAGUGGAAACUGUUGAACUAGAGUAUGGUAGGGGUAGGGGGAAUUCCCAGUGUAGCGGUGAAAUGCGUAGAGAUUGGGAAGAACAUCGGUGGCGAAAGCGCUCUACUGGACGGCAACUGACACUCAGGGACGAAAGCUAGGGGAGCG